rnacentral:rRNA from 1 species
CCACUGAGACGUGCGAUAGGGGGAUCCCAGUGCACAGGCAUAGCGCCUGUGCUUUUCUCGCACCCUAAGGCGGUGCCAGAAUAAGGGCUGGGCAAGACCGGUGCCAGCCGCCGCGGUAAUACCGGCAGCCCAAGUGAUGGCCGAUCUUAUUGGGCCUAAAGCGUCCGUAGCUGGCCACGCAAGUCCAUCGGGAAAUCCACCUGCCCAACAGGUGGGCGCCCGGUAGAAACUGCGUGGCUUGGGACCGGAAGGCGCGACGGGUACGUCCGGGGUAGGAGUGAAAUCCUGUAAUCCUGGACGGACCGCCGAUGGCGCAAAGCACGUCCCGAAAACGGAUCCCAAGUGAGGGAACAAAGCCAGGGUCUUCAAACCGAUUUAAUACCCCGGUAAUCCUGGCCCUAAACCAUGGCCGGUUAGUGUGUGGUUCCAACUACAAUGGGGCUGUGUGCCUAAGGAAACCGCUUAACCAGACGGCCGGGAAAUUACUUCCCAAGAAUAAAACUUAAAGGAAUUGCGGGGAAGCACA